rnacentral:rRNA from 1 species
GAUGAACGCUGGCGGCGUGCCUGACACAUGCAAGUCGAGCGAUCUCUUCGGAGAGAGCGGCGGACGGGUGAGUAACGCGUGGGUAACCUGCCCUGUACACACGGAUAACAUACCGAAAGGUAUGCUAGUACGGGAUAAUAUAUAAAAGUCGCAUGGCUUUUAUAUCAAAGCUUGUGCGGUACAGGAUGGACCCGCGUCUGAUUAGCUAGUUGGUAAGGUAACGGCUUACCAAGGCGACGAUCAGUAGCCGACCUGAGAGGGUGAUCGGCCACACUGGAACUGAGACACGGUCCAGACUCCUACGGGAGGCAGCAGUGGGGAAUAUUGCACAAUGGGCGAAAGCCUGAUGCAGCAACGCCGCGUGAGCGAUGAAGGCCUUCGGGUCGUAAAGCUCUGUCCUCAAGGAAGAUAAUGACGGUACUUGAGGAGGAAGCCCCGGCUAACUACGUGCCAGCCGCCGCCGUAA